UAUAGGAAAUUUUAGAAUCUGGUAGCUGUAAUUUUGCUAGGAAUUUAUGACGAAAUUUAGUUAGGUUGCCGAAAAAAACGUGCUACAACUACAAAGUUGGUGGAUUCAAAAUUUUUUCGCUAAGUAGACAUAAAAUAUUUCCUCGUAAAGUACACGCUACAUUUAUGUCGAGCUUACGAGGAAAGCGUAUUUCCUCGUAAAAUCCACGUGACAUUACAUCGACUUUACGACGAAAUGAUUUCGUCGUUAUUUUACGAAGAAAUAACGUUGAUUUUAUAUUUCCUCGUAAAGUCGACAUAAAUUUACGAAGAUUAGUUUUCCUCGCUAAGUUUCCUUGCUAAACUUGUGUUUUCUUGUAGUGAGAUGAUUUAAACUACGAUAAACGUAUUAAAAAAUUUACACCGACAUAAUAAAAAUUGAACAUAGGUUCACUGAAACAAUUAUAAUAGUCAUAUUAGAAACUUAGUCAACCGAAGUGAAACUAUGACUGAAUCUUCUUAAACAAACAAGUUAAAAAAUAUGAUGAUAAUAUAAAGAGAAAUGAUCAUAGAAACAACAAUUCAUACGUAAUAUAAAACCAUACUCUUUAAACAAAAAUCAAAUGUUAAAUAAAAACACAAUGAACACAAACUUUCAUGUAAAGCGCAGAUCAACUCUUAGCAUAUAUAUAACAUUUUGUUUUUGAAACACAACAUAUAUAUAUAUAUGUUUCAUAUUAAGUGUCAAUUUAACAUUUUUCACGGAGAUUAAAAAAUUAUGUAAUAUACUAAUAUAUCAUUUAUUUAAUGUAUGAUUAAUUAAAUGAAAAUAGUUUAAAUAAAAACUUAUUGGUUAUUCAAAAUGGUAAAACUACACUAUAAUUAUAGAAUGAUACUUAUUUUGAAACAAAAAUUAAAUCUAAAGUAAAAUUUAUUAUGAAACAGAGAAAAUAAUAUUUUUAUUUAAACACAAGUUCUAAGAAACUGCCAUGUGUCAUUUUAUAUAAGCUUAUAAAAUAUAUUUGAUGUAAAUUAGAAUAUACUUUUUAUACUAAUUUAAAAUCUAUAAAACAUUUAUUGUCUUAGAAAAGUAAAGUAAAUUUAUGAAUGUUAAAUCAACAAAUAAGAAAUGAAGUAAUGUAUUAGUUCUGUAAUUGUUUUAGAUUCACGAUUACUCCGGAUAUCUACACUAGAAUCUGGUUUUAUAUUGUGUGCCUUAGUUACAUUUUCGUGGGGCGUAAACGAUUCAAACAAGAGAAAUCCUAAUUAGCUGGAUAUGUGUCACUGUCUUUUCGUCGAACCAUUAACCGUAAGAUAAGCUGCUCGAAAGGCAACGUAGGGACGGGGGCAAUGCAUACGGACAGAAACAUCGAACCAACUUUGAAAUAUUGUCAAUAAAUAAUUUACUUUGCAAGAAAAAGGAAACUUGUGGACCACGUAUCAGUGAUCGUGGCACGAAGUAUAGCCGAUCAUGAACUUGUGUUGGUUACAUUAUCUUCUUAUUCAUAUAAAACAUUUAGAUAUAUAUCUUUAUGGUUUUAGUUUCUUGAGGAAUGUGAACCAUUUACUAAUUAAUAAUCUCUCCAUUCAAAAUAAUUCAUGUUUCUUAAAAAAAAUAUUUCAAAAGAUACAUUUUUUAUAUUUUCAAGAUAAUUUUAUUAAAAUAUAUUUAAAAAAAAUUAAUUCUGUUUAUUAAAUUUUUGAUUGGUUAAAAGUUUUGGAAAAUAAUUAAUCACGAAAUAAUGCAUUUAUAACAUUUUUUAUAAAAUAUUUUCUUAAUAGUGUAAAAACUUUAAAAUAUACAUCUUUUUAUAAACCGAUGGAGUAUUAAUUUUUCUGACCUGUUUGGUUCUGAAGACAAUUAUAAUAGGUAUGGUGGCAUCAGAAAUAUAGUUCAUGUAGUGUUUUAUUUAUAUUUAAAUAUGUUUUAAGAUUGUGGAAAUUUUAUCAUAUCUUUUUAAACAGACGAUAUAACUGAUGUUGUUACUGAAUGAGGAGAUUUCUUUAUUUUUGUUUUGUUUCUCAAAUUGAGAAAAUUGGUUCGCAUGCCCUUAAUUGGUACCAUAACUAGAGCUUUUUUUUUUUUUUUUCCAUCUUUUAUUUUAUUAAUGGGUCUAAGCCCAUGAUCCAACAAAACAAACAUAAAACAUAAAGCCCGACACAAUGGGCCUACAUAAACUAAACCCGGGCCUAAAGCACAAGCCCACAAACCAAACGGCUAAACACGCGUCCAACAAAGCUCGCAUGCCCGUCCACGUGUUGAAGCCCACCCCUUUCGAGAACACGCGUCACCUGGUCACACCACCGCGACCGGCACCGAGAAAAACAUCGCCGGCGAAGACGAAACCAUCUCCUUCUGCUCUGUCUUCUCUGACUCCGGCGUAGUUUUUCUCGAGUUAGUCUCGAUGUAGCUCUCCGUUGAAGAGUCCAGGCGAAACAGAUGGGUGAGAUGGUCUCAGUUUCCGGUGUGCUCCGUCGAAACUAUAGGUGGUUUCGUCUUCGCCGGCGAUGUUUUCUCGGUGCCGGUCGCGGUGGUGUGACCAGGUGACGCGUGUUCUCGAAAGGGGUGGGCUUCAACACGUGGACGGGCAUGCGAGCUUUGUUGGACGCGUGUUUAGCCGUUUGGUUUGUGGGCUUGUGCUUUAGGCCCGGGUUUAGUUUAUGUAGGCCCAUUGUGUCGGGCUUUAUGUUUUAUGUUUGUUUUGUUGGAUCAUAGGCUUAGACCCAUUAAUAAAAUAAAACAUGGAAAAAAAAAGUUGUACCAUAACUAGAGCUUUGCACCUGAAAUGACAGUAUUAGUUUUAUUCCGAAAUUAACCCUACUUCCUCAUUGACGACCCUAGGUGAAGCUGUGUCAGUAUGUUCUGCGCAUGUCGGAAAUAUGUGUUAGAUGGAAAAUCCUUUUCUAGUUCUCUUUUUUCUCAUAAUAUCUUUCUUCUCCAAACUUUUUUUUUCUUUUCAUUUCUCUGUAUUUUACAAUUAAAUAUGUGUUUCGCAAAGUCUUUCUCCUCUCUCCUCUAUUUUUUGUAGUUUCUUUAUUUUUGUUUUGUUUCUCAAAUCUAUAGAUCUUUAUAAUUGAAAAAAAUGAGAAAGGAAUCCAUCUCAGGUGAAAGUUGUGUCAGAUCUGAGAAGGAUCAGAUGAUAAACUCUCUUCCCAGAAUUGGGAAGUUGCUGAAGAUCGAAGAUGAUUCCAGAGUGAUGGCUAGCAAUAUCCUGAUGUUUGUUGAUAUAUAUAACAUUUAUGUUAGUAGCCAUUUUACUCGUUACCCAAUAUUAUUUAUGUUUAUUAGUGUAUCUUUUGUUUUUUAUCGCCAUUUGAGAUAAAUGGUUUGUUAACUGUUAUUAUUUAAUUGUCGCUAAUUGAUAAUAUGUGGUAAAAUGUUAUAAGCCAUGUGUUGUUAGCAGAUAUAUAGUUGGUUAGAUGAUACAUGGCUUGUUAGGUGUUACAUUUUGCUUGGUACUUGAUAUAUUAUUUAAUACAUUAUUUGUUAACUGAUA